rnacentral:lncRNA from 1 species
UUUUCAGAAUCAAAGCUUCAACCAUGAUGCACCAAGCAAAUUUAAAUCUAGCCUGCUACAUUGCCUGCCACUCAGAGAUUAGUUCCAUGGAUCACCUUGGGGAAGUUUGAAAAAGAGGGAAAACCUCAACUGACAUCUCCAUGCUGAAUUUUCAAAGGUGACUUGGGGGCCUUGCUUGGAUGCACAGUAUCAAGCCAUCAACUUCCAGCAAUGGAAGAGCACAGAUGUGGAGCAGUUCUGAGUGGAAGCAUACAAUUUUCAAGACAGUAGCGGUGAACAGUGUUUUAAAGAGCUAGCCCUGUUUGCACUUUCCCUACUCGCCAUGCCUCUGAGUAAUGCUGACGUGGAACAAGUGUUCACCCGAGAGAAGUCCAAGCACUGGAAUGGGAUGAGUUGCCGGACUCUGGCUGCAGGAGGUCAGCACACUGUGGGAGUCUGAAGAGCCAUGGAUGACACAUGAACAAUCAUGAAAGGCCGUGGAGCACCUCAGCAACGUUCCACAUUUGUACCCCUUUCUAGAUAAAUAUACUAAAUGCUGAUGUUCUGCUUAUAAAUGGGACGCUUUGAGGACAAUCUCACUGAAACACUAAUAGUCUUUACCGCUGAAAACAUCUGAGUUUCCAGUCCCUACUCAGCAAAAUAGGUUGACCAGUAACUAGUAUGGGUGUUUGCAUGAGUAGUCAAAUUGUAGUGAGUAAUGCUGACAGUAGCAUAUUAUAGUGGUGU